GACGAACGCUGGCGGCGUGCCUAAUACAUGCAAGUAGAACGCAGUUGCGAACGGGUGAGUAACGCGUAGGUAACUGCCUAAUAGCGGGGGAUAACUCUUGGAAACGAUAGCUAAUCCCGCAUACUAUGAGAUGGGCCUGCGUUUUAUUAGGUAGUUGGUGAGGUAAAGGGGCACCAAGGCGUCGAUACAUUGCCGACCUGAGAGGGUGAUCGGCCAAACUGGGACUGAGACAAGGGCCAAGAUCCUACGGGAGGCAGCAGUAGGGAAUCUUCGGCAAUGGGGGGAAGUCUGAACGAGCAAAGGCGCGUGAGUGAAGAAGGUUUUUGGAUGGUAAAGGUCUGUUGUUAGAGAAGCGGUACCUAAACAGAAAGGGACGGCUAACUACGUGCCAGCAGCCGCGGUAAUUC
rnacentral:rRNA from 1 species